rnacentral:rRNA from 1 species
GAUGAACGCUGGCGGCGUGCCUAAUACAUGCAAGUCGAGCGAACAGACGAGGAGCUUGCUCCUCUGACGUUAGCGGCGGACGGGUGAGUAACACGUGGAUAACCUACCUAUAAGACUGGGAUAACUUCGGGAAACCGGAGCUAAUACCGGAUAAUAUAUUGAACCGCAUGGUUCAAUAGUGAAAGACGGUUUUGCUGUCACUUAUAGAUGGAUCCGCGCCGCAUUAGCUAGUUGGUAAGGUAACGGCUUACCAAGGCAACGAUGCGUAGCCGACCUGAGAGGGUGAUCGGCCCCACUGGAACUGAGCCACGGUCCAGACUCCUACGGGAGGCAGCAGUAGGGAAUCUUCCGCAAUGGGCGAAAGCCUGACGGAGCAACGCCGCGUGAGUGAUGAAGGUCUUCGGAUCGUAAAACUCUGUUAUUAGGGAAGAACAAAUGUGUAAGUAACUAUGCACGUCUUGACGGUACCUAAUCAGAAAGCCACGGCUAACUACGUG